rnacentral:rRNA from 1 species
AGCAUGUGGUUUAAUUCGAAGCAACGCGAAGAACCUUACCAAAUCUUGACAUCCUUUGACAACUCUAGAGAUAGAGCUUUCCCCUUCGGGGGACAAAGUGACAGGUGGUGCAUGGUUGUCGUCAGCUCGUGUCGUGAGAUGUUGGGUUAAGUCCCGCAACGAGCGCAACCCUUAAGCUUAGUUGCCAUCAUUAAGUUGGGCACUCUAAGUUG